rnacentral:precursor_RNA from 1 species
AGGAAAACAUCAGACUGAAACUACACUUUAAGGGGACCAAAGAGAUAUAUAGAUAUCAGCUACCUAUAUACCUGUUCGGUCUCUUUAAAGUGUAGUUUAACUGAUUUUUUAAUGGAU